UGUGAACGUGAAAAUCAGAUCUAUGUUGCUUCUUCACCAUCCUAAUUCAAAAUUCAUGAACACCAUUUCUCAUAUCUACUUCUAAUCCUAUGUCAAAAAAGAUUUGGCUCUGAUUCAAAAAGAAAACAAGGGUCACUGAAUGUGAAAUUGAGUUAUGUUCUUGAUUAAAAAACAAACCUUUCCAUACAAUAAGGAGAUUUUCUUGAAAACUUAAGGUGGUGAGAAAAUCUCAGAUAACUUUGUAAGCUUUUUGGGUGGAUAAUUGCUCAUGUUCAUUAGAGUUUUUUAUCUCAUAAAGUCCAAAAGUAAAAUCACAAUAAUAAUGAAAAAAAACCAAUGAAGUAAAUUAAUAAUAAAAAAUUAGUCAUAACAGUCUAUUGUACCGACUAUAAUAUUAAUAGGUGUUCAUUUGUCUUUUCUUUUCAGCUAUUUACUGGCG
rnacentral:lncRNA from 1 species